UGUGAAGCUUUGAUGAGGGUGUACAGUAUGAGAUAUGUACAUUUAAUGUCGUCUUCACAAGGAGCAGUCUAUGCGUAAGUCUUUUGGACGACACAGGACAUUUGGUCCUGUGUAAUCAAUGAACACACAGGACCGAACCAAAUUUUGUCAGACCGAAAAACCUAAUGUAAAAAAGUGAAACACGUGAAAAUACAGAGUAGUAGACUAGCUUAACAGCUUUUCUUUAACAAGGGAUCACUCCUGCAUAAAACUGUAGAAAGACCAUGCGGUUUUAAUCACAUUCAUUUAUGAACAGUUCUUAUCAACAAACCCUGUAAGAAGAAGGACACCUGUUCUACAGCUUGUGGUGGAUCAUAGAACACAUGAUAUCAACCAAGUUUAAAGGAAGCAUGUAUAGCCACAAUAGAAAGAUUUAAGGAUUGUGAGAAACCAAAUAUGACAAAUCAAAGUAAAUUUCAUGGGAGUGUGAAAAAAAAAAGAAUAGUAGAGUGUAAUCCUCAGGACUUUCUUCAGACUUCCAUAAAGUCAGGAAAUACUGUUGAGCUGACAAAAUUAACAAAAAUCAUGAUUCUCAAAAAUUCAAGGAAGAUGUGAGAGUUAAGACUAAGAUGGAUUUUAGGAGUUUUGAUGACAAAGAAUCAACCAUUGGAAAUAUGGCUUUAAACUUGGAGCUCAUUAUUGAUGCAUACAUGAUGGUGGGCUGAAGAAGAAAACCAGGACAAAAGAAAAUUCCUAGUGUUCAUCAGAAAAAAUGAAUCAUGCAACCAUUUUGAGUGCUUGAAUGCUGAACUGAGAGACCGCCAGCCAGUGCGGAAAAUAUUUCUUGGAAGUUACACCAAAUCUGC